GAAAUGCGAUAAGUAGUGUGAAUUGCAGAAUUCAGUGAAUCAUCGAAUCUUUGAACGCACAUUGUGCCCCUUGGUAUUCCAUGGGGCAUGCCUGUUCGAGCGUCAUUUGUACCCUCAAGCUCUGCUUGGUGUUGGGUGUUUGUCCCCGUCUCCGCGCGUGAACUCGCCCCAAAGUGAUUGGCAGCCGGCGUACUGGUCCCGGAGCGCAGCACAUGUCGCGCAAACGAGUGCCUUGGUACGGCGGCGUCCAUAAGCCCCUCUCUCACGCUCUUGACCUCGGAUCAGGUAGGGAUACCCGCUGAACUUAAGC
rnacentral:misc_RNA from 1 species